AUUGAACGCUGGCGGCAUGCCUUACACAUGCAAGUCGAACGGCAGCACGGGUGCUUGCCCCUGGUGGCGAGUGGCGAACGGGUGAGUAAUACAUCGGAACAUGUCCUGUAGUGGGGGAUAGCCCGGCGAAAGCCGGAUUAAUACCGCAUACGAUCUACGGAUGAAAGCGGGGGACCUUCGGGCCUCGCGCUAUCGGGUUGGCCGAUGGCUGAUUAGCUAGUUGGUGGGGUAAAGGCCUACCAAGGCGACGAUCAGUAGCUGGUCUGAGAGGACGACCAGCCACACUGGGACUGAGACACGGCCCAGACUCCUACGGGAGGAAGCAGUGGGGAAUUUUGGACAAUGGGCGAAAGCCUGAUCCAGCAAUGCCGCGUGUGUGAAGAAGGCCUUCGGGUUGUAAAGCACUUUUGUCCGGAAAGAAAUACUUGGCCCUAAUACGGUCGGGGGAUGACGGUACCGGAAGAAUAAGCACCGGCUAACUACGUG
rnacentral:rRNA from 1 species